AUAAAUAUGAACAAAAAAACGAAAAUAGUAAUUACAUUCUUCCUAAUAAUAGCUACACUCAUUCAUUUUCUUUAUCUUUACAUUCAACAUUACCCCAAUCAUCAUCACCACUAAAGUCUCAUGCUUCUACUCAUAAUAAUAUACAAAAAAUAAAUUCUUUAACAACUAAUAUAAAAAAAGAAACAAAUAAUGAAAAUAUACAUCCUUUAAAUUACCUAAUUGAUAGUAUAAAUAUAUUUGCAUUUUUAGUAAAAAAAAAUAAUUAUGAUUUUAUUUCGUCUAUAUAUUUAUCUUUUGCUUUGUGUUUAAUAUACAAACUUGACGUAUGUAUUGAGUUUUCUUCUAUUGUAUUGAUAAGGGUAAUACACUUUGAACAAUUUUUAUUUUCACUUUGUGAAAUCUAUUCAAAUGAAAAUGAUACAAAGAAGAACGACUUAAGUAAAGAUACAAAAACAGGUAGCAACAGUAAGCUAUCAAAAUGUGAACCAUCUAACAAAAAAAAUAGUAGUAACAAAAACAGUAGUGACGACACUAAUAUAAAUAACAUUACAGCUGACCACUUGUACAGAUUAGUUAAAAUAAAAAAGUUAUUAAAUACGUUAAAAGGUUUCAAAUCUAUCAUAAAAUACAUAAUAGGUUUAUGCUAUAUGAAAAAAAAAAACUUUAUUUUAGCAUCUUACUGCUUUACAUCAUCAGUCAAAUUAAAUAGUUAUUGUUUUGCGUAUUUAACCAAUUCAUGGUUAUUAUUAUUGAACUAUUUUCAAAAAAUUACAAGAUAUAACAAUUUUAUUAAAGAUGAUAAAACAUAUAAUUUUUUAAAAUAUAAUUUGAAUCAUGCAAAUAGGAAUGUAUGUCGUCCUAUUAAUAUGAUAUACCCGAAAAAAAAAAAUAAAAUAAAUAAUAAUAAUAACAAUAAUAANNNNNNNNNNNNNNNNNNNNNNNNNNNNNNNNNNNNNNNNNNNNNNNNNNNNNNNNNNNNNNNNNNNNNNNNNNNNNNNNNNNNNNNNNNNNNNNNNNNNAAUAAUAAUAAUAAUAAUAAUAUUAAUAACAAUAAUAAUAAUAAUAAUAAUAAUAAUAAUAAUAAUAAUAAUAAUAAUAAUAAUGAUGAAAAUGCUACCUGGUAUGGUAGACUUAUGAAACGGUUAAAAAGGGAUGAAGGUCAUACUGGUGACUCUAAUCUUGAAGCAAACAAUGAUCAUAACAUUAGUAACUAUAAAGAAGGUGACAAACCUAGUCCAACCGGAAUGAAUAACAUGCUAGAACAUAGCAAAACAAGUGAUGCAACACACAUUCAUACAGGUACUCGCUUAAUUAAUCAUAGUAAUGCUCAUAUAAAUAAUUUAAAAAAAAUUAAUGUUGAAGAUAUAAUAAAUUUAACUUUACUUACAUAUAUGGAUUAUGUAAAAAAAGGAGUAUUUAUUUAUUCGAAAAAUUUGCAACAUGCAUUAGCUAAUGAAAAUAGUGUCUAUUCGUUCGGUAAAAACGACAUAUAUGAAUGUGACAUGUUAUUUGAUGCGAUUGAUAAUGAAACAGAUUGUUCAAAAAGUGAAUAUAGUAACGUUUUUUUAGAUAACAAUAUGAUAUCUUUAUAUUUAGAUUUAUGUGAAAUGUGGUUAUUAAAUGGUUAUAAUGUAUCUAUUAUUUUUUUAAAAAUUAUAAAAGAAAGAAUAAAUUUUUAUUAUGUAAGUAAAAAAUUUUUGAGUAAAUAUUAUUUUUUGAUUGGUAUGUAUUACCAUAUUAUAAAAAAUAUGAAAAAGGCAUUAAAAUAUUAUUAUAAAAGUUUACUUAUUUAUGAAAAUAAUGUUAGUAGAUAUUACUACACCGUGACAUGUAUUUAUUUGAAAAAAUAUAAAAAGGCUAAACAAAACUUGAUGUUUUUUAAUUUAAAUAACAAUAAUGUAUAUUUUAUGAAACUGUACAUUUGGUUUUAUGUCCAUACAGCUAAUCUUUAUCUGAAUUAUAAUGUAAUAAGUAAAACGCGUUGUACAGAAAAGAGCGACGCUUACUUGGGCACCAUACUUACGUCGGAAUUCGCAACAAACAAACCAAACAAACCAAACAAAACAAAAAAAACAAACAAAACAAACAAAACAAACAAAACAAACAAAACAGACAAAACAGACAAAACAGACAAACCAAACAAAACAAACAAAACAGACAAAACAGACAAACCAAACAAAACAAACAAAACAAACAAAACAAACAAAACAAAAAAAACAAACAAAACAAACAAAACAAACAAAACAAACAAAACAAACAAAACAAAAAAAACAAACAAAACAAACAAAACAAAAAAAAUAGAAGAUCCAAAUGACACAAAUAACCCGAAUAGAGCAAUCACAACUUAUACCGUUGUAAAAAACAAAUUUGUUAAAACGGAUUCUGAUAAGCACACGAAAAAAACGUUGUGCAUGCUACAUAAUCUUUUACACAUUAUACAAACGAAUAAUAAAACGUUCCACAAUGAUUUGGAUAUUAAAUUUAUGGAAGCUAAAAUAUAUGACCUUUUGAUUACUAAAUAUAACGAAAAUUACAUGAACAAAUAUUUUAAUUUAUUAAAUCAAAUAAAUGAUAUAAAAACAUUUUUUAAACAAAAAAAUAAAAGUGCUAAACUAUCAUACGAACUGAUUAAUAAUUAUAUAGUUGCUUUAUUUUAUACUAAUUCGAAAGAAAAAAGUUUAAACUUGAUGGAAAAAUUAAAAAAAGAAAUUUUUUAUAAAAUAAAAAAGGUUUUUUAUUUCUAUACAUAUGUAUUAUGUAAAAAAGAACAUUAUCACGGCCAUGGUUAUUAUAAUAUAAAACAAAACAAAACAAACUUAGACUAUACAAAAAUAUAUGAGCUGAAAAAAAAAAGGGAAAAUCUUUGUUCUAAAGAUUUAUUACAAAUGGAAGAAACGAAAAACGAAUGCAUUAAAAGAAACUAUGAGGCUAUGGGUGAAAUUAGUGAAAAUGAUGGAGAUAGUAAAAAAAGUAGACGUUUAAUAGAUAACAAACAGGUUGAUCAUACUAAUUGUGAAAAUAAAACCGAAAUGGAUAAUCAACAAAACCAUAAUCAAGAUAACUACGAUAAAAGUGUGGACUGCCAUAGUAACAGCAAACAAAAUAAGUUAAUUAUAAAAAAUAAUAAAACCAAAAUAACGCACAUUAAGAAUAUGUUAAAAGUGCAUCGUAUUUACGAGAUUCGAGACCGAUUGACGAAUUGUAAUGGUAGUAUCAAUAUAAUGAGCAGUACGAACAUGAAAAGCAGUGAUAAUUGUUUAAACGAAGUGUACAUAAAAAGAAUAAAAAAAAAAAGAUAUAAAUAUAUUAUAAAUUAUUUAAAACAAAUAUAUAUAACCGUAUCAUUUAACAAUGCAAUGUUAUUAGAAUUGUUAGGCUAUAUGCACUUAUCUAUUAACAUUUAUAAAUUGUAUACACAAAUAUAUAUAAAUUAUGAAUGGCCUUUUAUCAGAUUAGCCAAUAUAUAUAUAAAAGAUAAAAAUUAUACAAUGGCAAAACAGUUGAUAGAUUAUGGAAUAAAGCACAAUGAUAACUCCUUAUAUUUGAAUUUAUUAAAAGCGUAUUUACACGCUAAACAAGGGUAUUAUGAUUAUAGCAUUCACCUUUUAGAAAAAUUAAAAAGAAAAAGAUGGUAUUACAUCUAUAAUAACAACAAUACAUGUUAUAAUAAUAUUAGUUAUAACGACAAUGAUAGUUGUUACAUUUCCUAUAAAAACGAUGUGUUAUUAAAUACAUAUUUAGCGAUAAUAAAAUUUUAUAAAUUAAAAAGUUGUAAAUAUAGAGAAAGAGAUGAGACAAUAAAAGACAUUUACAAUCAAAUAAAUAUAUUAUUAAAUAAAAAAGAUAAUUUUUGUAUAGCUAACUUAAUUAGUAUAUUAUUAAGUAUGAACAAUAAAUAUGAAUUAUCCUUCGAAGCAUUUCAACUUAUAAUAGAUUUGAAUAAAAGACUAUCAUUUUUUUAUUUAUGUAGUACAAGAAAUUUAAUAUUACAUAUGUUUAAUCAUUUAAUAAAACAUAAUGAAUUAAUUACUAAUAAAAUAUUUUUAAAUAAAUUAAAUUUGUUUUUUAAUUUAACUAUAAAAAAUGGAAAUGCAGAUAAACAAAUUUAUUUAUGUUUUAGUAACUUUUUACAUAUAUUAAACAAAAAUGAAGAAGCUGUUCAUUUAUUAUAUACAGCCUACCAAAUGUGGCCAUAUGAUUUUUGCAUAUUAAGUACUCUUAUCAUAUGUAUAGAUUCAUAUGUUUCGCAAUAUUUAAGUUCAAAUUAUGUUGAAUUAAAACAUAUUUUUUAUAUGAAAAAUCUAAUAAAUUUUGCUUUUGGCGUUAUUUACACCUUAUUAAAAUGGAAGCAUUUUAUUACAACGGCUGAUUUAAUUCGCUCAGAUACCCAAUACAAUUACUACAAAAAAGACAAUUACAUCGUCGAUAUAAAAAAAAAAAAUGUUGAACAUAUAGCGAGUCGACAAUUUUUACUAGCAACAUAUAAAAAGUUUGAAUAUAAAAUAAAACCAUAUAUCGAAAGCAGUCUACCGACCAUGUUAAAACAAAAAAAAAUAUAUUUUAUGAAAAAAAUAAGCAUAAAAAAAAAAAUAUACGAAGAAAAAAAAAAACAACAACUUAGUUUAGAAUUAAAAAAAAAAAAAAGUCAAGAAAUUUUACAAAAAGAAUUACUCAACGAUAUAAAUGAAUUAACUCAUCAAAUAUCUGAAAAAAAUAUAAAUGAAAAGGACCCAAAUCAAAAUGUUAAUCUGAUUGAAAUAUAUAAAACUGAAGCAAACCAAGUAGAUUAUAACCAAAGUACUGAUAACAAAGACAAUGACCCAAGUUCUUCAGCUAGUCCUCAUAGUUCUGAUAGCUCCGAUUUGUUUGGUGAAAAAGAAGAACUUUCCAAAAAAAAAAAAUAAAUAUAAACAAACAAACAAUCAUAGAAUAAAUAUAAUA
ensembl:lncRNA